rnacentral:lncRNA from 1 species
AUCGGGUGAUAGAUCGAAUUAGGUCAAUACCAUUUUAUUUAGGUACACAAUUGAACUUAUAUUGAACGUCGUAUUUAGAUGGUUACCCGAGCAUUUCACAUUCCAUUUCAUGCAUUAGUAUAGAGCUUGAAUUAGUUUUAUAACAAUUUAGCACAAAUGUAGUAAAUGGCUUAUUGUGCGUUAUGUCUAGAUGGUGAGCUUUCUGGCAAAAGUAAAGAGAUAGUACCCAAGGAUCAAGAAUCAGAGUACUCGAAACUGGAUUUCCAUUAUAGUAAGUAACCUUAUUAUCGUUUUAAUUAUCUAAAGUAGUUUUUAUUCGUUUUUGUGAUUUUAUAGAAAAAUAAGUUUUAAUGGUAAAUCUUUAUGUUUUAUAAGCAAAAUGCGAUUAAACGAAAUGAUUUUAUAAAAUUGUCUUGAAAUUGAAUGAUGGCUUGGAAAAUAGAGUAAUUAGAGACUAUUUGCUGUGUUAUAAAUCAUGGUUUGAAUUGAAUGUCUUAUGAUAAUGUGGGCAUGAGUGGCUGGAUUGGUAAUUGUGCUAAACAUAUAUGAAUUGUUGUUUUGCCUUGACAUGUUGUGUUGUAAAAUAAUUGCCAUGUCAUGCUGUUGGAAUUUUAUUGAUUUGGUGGGAUAUCGAUUAGCUUACUGUAGUGGACGGGUUACUGUCGAUCAGCCUAUUAGAGGGGCACGGUAAACCCCGUUAUAUUUUACCUCAGUACAAGAGGCGCGAAGGGUAACUCCCAAGGUAAAGUUUAGAGUUCAGCUCACGCCGAACCAUCACGUGAGAGUGAAUUCAGCCAACACCAAGAAACGACUGUGCUUUUAAACGUAAAAAUGUGUUUUGUGCGUAUAUGACUUUUUAAAUAGCCUUGGCGAUCUCAGUUGGAUGCCUCUGAUCCAAGUAUCCUCGAGAAUGAGUUUUGGCACGAGCCAAGUUUUUAAGAGAUUCAUAAGCCUCGUUGUAUAUUUUGGAUGAAAUGUAACUGGUUUAGAUGAUUUGAAAUGUGUUUUGAUGUUAUGAACCAUCUUAUGAUGAUCUAUUUUAAUC